rnacentral:rRNA from 1 species
UACAGAGGUCUCAAGCGUUGUUCGGAUUCAUUGGGCGUAAAGGGUGCGUAGGCGGCGUGGUAAGUCGGAUGUGAAAUCUCGGAGCUUAACUCCGAAACUGCAUUCGAUACUGCCGUGCUUGGGGACUGGAGAGGAGACUGGAAUUUACGGUGUAGCGGUGAAAUGCGUAGAUAUCGUAAGGAAGACCAGUGGCGAAGGCGGGUCUCUGGACAGUUCCUGACGCUGAGGCACGAAGGCCAGGGGAGCAAACGGG